rnacentral:rRNA from 1 species
GAAGCGAACGCGGUGAACUGAAACAUCUAAGUAACCGCAGGAAAAGAAAUCAACCGAGAUUCCCAAAGUAGUGGCGAGCGAAAUGGGAUGAGCCUUGCACUCUUUAUUUGUAUUGUUAGCCGAACGCUCUGGAAAGUGCGGCCAUAGCAGGUGAUAGCCCUGUAGGCGAAAACAGUAUGAAAGAACUAGGUGUGCGACAAGUAGGGCGGGACACGUGAAAUCCUGUCUGAAGAUGGGGGGACCAUCCUCCAAGGCUAAAUACUCGUGAUCGACCGAUAGUGAACCAGUACCGUGAGGGAAAGGCGAAAAGAACCCCGGGAGGGGAGUGAAAUAGAUCCUGAAACCGCAUGCAUACAAACAGUCGGAGCCUCGUAAGGGGUGACGGCGUACCUUUUGUAUAAUGGGUCAGCGACUUACGUUCAGUAGCAAGCUUAACCGUAUAGGGCAGGCGUAGCGAAAGCGAGUCCGAAUAGGGCGUUCAGUUGCUGGGCGUAGACCCGAAACCAGGUGAUCUAUCCAUGGCCAGGAUGAAGGUGCGGUAACACGUACUGGAGGUCCGAACCCACUAACGUUGAAAAGUUAGGGGAUGAGCUGUGGAUAGGGGUGAAAGGCUAAACAAACCUGGAAAUAGCUGGUUCUCUCCGAAAACUAUUUAGGUAGUGCCUCGUGUCUCACCUUCGGGGGUAGAGCACUGUCAUGGUUGGGGGGUCUAUUGCAGAUUACCCCGCCAUAGCAAACUCCGAAUACCGAAGAGUGCAAUCACGGGAGACAGACAUCGGGUGCUAACGUCCGGUGUCAAGAGGGAAACAACCCAGACCGCCAGCUAAGGUCCCCAAAUAUAGCUAAGUGGGAAACGAAGUGGGAAGGCUAAAACAGUCAGGAGGUUGGCUUAGAAGCAGCCACCCUUUAAAGAAAGCGUAAUAGCUCACUGAUCGAGUCGUCCUGCGCGGAAGAUGUAACGGGGCUAAGCUAUAUACCGAAGCUGCGGAUGCGUGCUUGCACGCAUGGUAGGAGAGCGUUCCGUAAGCCUGCGAAGGUGCCUUGUAAAGGGUGCUGGAGGUAUCGGAAGUGCGAAUGCUGACAUGAGUAGCGAUAAAGGGGGUGAAAGGCCCCCUCGCCGUAAGCCCAAGGUUUCCUACGCAACGUUCAUCGGCGUAGGGUGAGUCGGCCCCUAAGGCGAGGCAGAAAUGCGUAGCUGAUGGGAAGCAGGUCAAUAUUCCUGCACCAUUGUUAGAUGCGAUGGGGGGACGGAUCGCGGAAGGUUGUCCGGGUGUUGGAAGUCCCGGUCGCUGCAUUGGAGAAGGCGCUUAGGCAAAUCCGGGCGCGUAAUUCAAGGGUGUGGCGCGAGCUCCUUAGGGAGCGAAGCAAUUGGAAGUGGUUCCAAGAAAAGCCUCUAAGCUUCAGUCUAACGAUGACCGUACCGCAAACCGACACAGGUGGGCGAGAUGAGUAUUCUAAGGCGCUUGAGAGAACUCGGGAGAAGGAACUCGGCAAAUUGGUACCGUAACUUCGGGAUAAGGUACGCCCUUGUAGCUUGACUGGCCUGCGCCAGGAGGGUGAAGGGGUUGCAAUAAACUGGUGGCUGCGACUGUUUAAUAAAAACACAGCACUCUGCAAACACGAAAGUGGACGUAUAGGGUGUGACGCCUGCCCGGUGCCGGAAGAUUAAAUGAUGGGGUGCAAGCUCUUGAUUGAAGUCCCGGUAAACGGCGGCCGUAACUAUAACGGUCCUAAGGUAGCGAAAUUCCUUGUCGGGUAAGUUCCGACCUGCACGAAUGGCGUAACGAUGGCCACACUGUCUCCUCCCGAGACUCAGCGAAGUUGAAGUGUUUGUGAUGAUGCAAUCUACCCGCGGCUAGACGGAAAGACCCCAUGAACCUUUACUGUAGCUUUGCAUUGGACUUUGAACCGAUCUGUGUAGGAUAGGUGGGAGGCUAUGAAACCGGAACGCUAGUUUCGGUGGAGCCGUCCUUGAAAUACCACCCUGGUUUGUUUGAGGUUCUAACCUUGGCCCGUGAUCCGGGUCGGGGACAGUGCAUGGUAGGCAGUUUGACUGGGGCGGUCUCCUCCCAAAGCGUAACGGAGGAGUACGAAGGUACGCUAGGUACGGUCGGAAAUCGUGCUGAUAGUGCAAUGGCAUAAGCGUGCUUAACUGCGAGACCGACAAGUCGAGCAGGUGCGAAAGCAGGUCAUAGUGAUCCGGUGGUUCUGUAUGGAAGGGCCAUCGCUCAACGGAUAAAAGGUACUCUGGGGAUAACAGGCUGAUACCGCCCAAGAGUUCAUAUCGACGGCGGUGUUUGGCACCUCGAUGUCGGCUCAUCUCAUCCUGGGGCUGUAGCCGGUCCCAAGGGUAUGGCUGUUCGCCAUUUAAAGAGGUACGUGAGCUGGGUUUAAAACGUCGUGAGACAGUUUGGUCCCUAUCUGCCGUGGGCGUUGGAUAUUUGAAGGGGGCUGCUCCUAGUACGAGAGGACCGGAGUGGACGAACCUCUGGUGUACCGGUUGUCACGCCAGUGGCAUCGCCGGGUAGCUAUGUUCGGAAGAGAUAACCGCUGAAAGCAUCUAAGCGGGAAACUCGCCUUAAGAUGAGAUAUCCCUGG